GUGUGCCAAACUUAACCUCUAGACCACUGAGGCUGGCCCUGGAUGCUUUUGAAUUUAUUAAAAUGAGGGUAGAUUUUGAAAGGAGUCAAAUGUCCAACUAUAUGACAUUCUGGAAAAGGCAAAUCUCUAGAGACAGUAAAAGGAUCAGUGGUUGCCAGGGGUCUGGGGUGAGGGGGGUGGAGCACAGGGGAGUUUUCGGGCAGUGAAACCAUCCUGGAUGAUACUGUAAUGGGAGAGAUAUACCAUCACGCAUUUGUGAAAACCCACAGAAUAUACAACACCGAGAGGGAACCCUCAUGUCAAUUAUGGACUUUACAUAUGGAGAUCUUCUCCUUCAGCCAUACCUGCAGCUUCUAGAAGGCUCUAUAACUCCUGCUCCCCCCCCCCCCCAACCCCCAACCAAGGUCAUUCCUUCCUUUUCUGAAAAUCUUUUGGUAAAUAGGUUUAAAUCAUGUGCCAGCUCCAAACAAUUGUUGGUGGCUACUUAAAGUGUGACAAGAAGAAGAAUUCCUAGGCCUGCCCCAGCCAACGGGGACAUGUCACCCCAUGAGUGAACGAUGACGUCUGCCAUGGGUGGAGGAGGAGGGGGCUGCGGCAUCUGAGCUGUGUAUUUACCUCUUGCCAUUUAGCAAUUCCCAAGGCGCAGUCAUUUGGCACCUGGUGUCGUGUUCCACAGGGCUGCGCCUGGUCUCUCCAGUGGAACUGAGCUCCGCGGAGGCCCACGACACCCACAGCUGCAGGAAGUGCUCAGCUGAUGUUUCCCCGUUGUUUGGUGAACAGUGACUAUGGCAGAAGUGACAAUGUAUGACACGGACAGUGCCUGGAAACAGGCUCUGUAGGGGGUGUGGGGGGUUGGGGUGUGUGUAUGUCACCAUGGUUUUGGUGCAAAUGUGUGAAUUGUUUCACAUAAGUGGGUCUCACUAUGGCGACACAAGCUAAGCACAUUUUUGCCCGGGACCUCGCCUCUUUCCCUUCUCUCUGCAUGGGAUGCUGUCCCCCAGAUAUCCACAGUGGUCACUUCUCACCUUACUCAGGUCUCUGGUCACAUGUCACCUCUCCUGACUGCUCUCACUAUGAGGGCCACUCCGUCUCCAGCCCCCAUCCUUCGUACUUCCUAGCCUUGCUCACUGCUCUCAUUUCCCGGGGCUGCCAUAACAAACGACUGCAAACGGGGGGCUUGAAACAACACAAAUCUAUUCUCUCACAGUCUGGAGACCACAAGUCCAAAAUCAGUGUCAGCAGGCCACACUCUGAAGGCGCUGGGGCAGAAUCCUUCCUGAGCUCUUCCAGCUUCUGGUGGCGCCAGGUGUUCCUCAGCUUGUGGCCGCAUCCCUCUAGCCUCUGCCUCCAUCUUCACUCGGCCUUCUCCCUGUGUCUGUGUCUCCCUGCUUUCGUCUCUUAUAAGGACAGCAGUCAUCGGAUUUAGGGCCCACUCUAAAGUUAAUCCAGGACGAUCUCAUCUUGAGACCCUUACCUUAAUGAUGUCUUCAAAGAUUCUUUUUCCAAAUGAGGUUACACUCACAGAUUCCGGGUGUUAGGGCGUGGACACGUUUUUGGGGGGCCAUUACUCAACCCACUGCAUCCGCUGUCUGACACUGCAUUACUCGUUGAUCCGUUUGCAGCCUGUGGCGCCCACUAGGAGACAAGAGACAAGAGACCAGGGAUGGAGUCUGUCGUGUGCAGGGGUCUGUCUCCAAUGCCACACAGAACUAUAUCUACCAUGACACACCCUGAGCAGACACACAGUGAUGAGGAUGAAAGAGGUCCCUUCUCUUGCAGAGAUUACAGUCUGGUGGAAAACAAAACAAGACAGAUAAAAAUAAGAUAUCAACAAAUAUCAAUAUCAAAAAAUAAGGUAAGUAUAGAUCACACAGACUUGAGCCAUGGGGAAGAAACAGUGGCAAUAUUAACUCUAGAAAGUGGAAUUUAAGGAGUAUGCUUUAAUGAUACACAGAUGGCAUUAAACAAUUACAAGAGUUACAAUAAACAGGUAAGUCAUAUGCACUAACCAACAGAGAAGCAUAAUACAAAAAGCAAAAAUUCAGACAUACAAGGAAGAAACGGACAGGUAAGCAAUGAGACUGGGAAAUUUUAAACUCUUCUUUGUCUUCCUGUGUCAGAUCAAACAGUCAAAAAUAAGGAUGUAACAAUGUAACUAGAAAGUUAGAAUGAAUAGAUACAGAACUAAUUUACAAAGGAGAGUACAGCUUACCGACACCCUUACAAAGACGACUACACCAACUUUUCUAGAGCCGUUGAAAUAUUUACAAAAAUUGCAUACAAACCAGGCACAGUCUCAAUCAACUAGGAAAAUUUAGUACACAUGUUGUAAGUGAGCAAAAGUGAGGCCAUCUUGUUUCGCUAAAUGGCCCCAGCCCCUCCUCUGUGUGACUACUCGCUGCUCUGCACGUACUCUAAAAAACUCCCCUGCUCUCCUAAUUUAUGGCCUCUGGCUUAUGUAUGUACUCCUGGAUAGCUUGAUAAAUUAAAACUUUGUUCUAUGAGUUUCUCUCCGGGAACAGGCUGACCACAGGCGGGAAACACACCUACAAGGCAUCCAUCACAGCGGACAGAAGAAUGGAACAGUAAAAGACCCUGGAGUCCGUCAUGCCUGAAAGAAAUGCCCUCCUCGUGGCCCAUUUUCCCUAUCUAACUGCCUCAAGAUUCUGUAAUCCUUGAAGAUAUAUAUAUUUUUUGAGACGUUACUCUGCCGUCUUCCAGAUUAUACCAACUAAUAGAAUUAAAACGUCCUUUCUCCUUCUCUAA